UCUUUGAAUUAACCUAUAUAAAGUAAAUAGAUGCAAAACGAUUCAUUAACAUUCCUUGAGUAAACAUGAUUUCAUCAAAUAAGGAUAAUGUGUUCUUGGAGACUGCUGAAUUUGCAUGUUUCUAAUGCUUUGAAUGAACAUGAUUAAGUUGUGUCUGGGGUGGCCUCCAGUCCUGAGGUGGCGCUAGUGCACCACUUUCUAAGACAAGAAGAAGCCGGAAAGUUUCAGAGCCAGAGAGCCGUUCGGCUCAGUCAGCUCGGUCCUACUCUUCAGUCUCAUCUCGCUGGAAUAGUGUUGUCAUGUGUGAAGAUCUACACAAAAUUGAGACUUCUGGCACAGUGGCCUGCACUGUUCGAAGUCUGUAAGAUCAGUGCUGAAUUCAAAAUAAUCACCACAGUUCCCCUGCAAUCCAAGCAACUGUUGCUGAAUUGGCUGAUGUAAGUUUCUGUCUUUUUCGCCUGUCUACUUGAUGGUUCCUGAGCAGAAAGCCUUUAACUAUUGAGUUACCCCCCUGCAUGUUAAAACCCCAUAGAGAGGAUCAUGAUCUGCCUUAAGCUAGAUUUAUGCUUCGCUCGCAUAGAAUCUGCGUCCGUCCGUUUUCUGUCUAUGCGAGUCCACGCCCCCCUCUCAGAGGCUCUGCGCCCGUCGUCUAGCGCCUCGAAAAAAUUCUAACUAUCCGUCGGACGGACGCGGAGUACGCAGACAAAAAGGCACUAUGAUUGGUCGUCUCGCUACUUCCUUGUUCUGUUCUUGUGGCAGCGCAAUGCCAGUAGUUUGCGAGAGCAGAGCUGUAUUCUGUUAAAAACUUUAUUAAUGCCUUGUGUGUAAAUGUGUGUAAAUACACGAAGCUAAGCUAAGUAACAAACAAUGCAUCAGUUGAACACUCGUGGCACAAUGCCUGCGGUUUUACUACCGUUCC